rnacentral:rRNA from 1 species
UACAGUUUGAUCAUUGCUCAGAAUCAACGCUGGCGGCGUGCCUAACACAUGCGAGUCGAACGCGAAAGGGGCUUCGGCCCUGAGUAGAGUGGCGAACGGGUGAGUAACACGUGGGUGACCUACCCUCGAGUGGGGGAUAACAUCCCGAAAGGGACGCUAAUACCGCAUGACAUCCUGCUUUUGAACGAGCGGAGAUCAAAGCUGGGGUCGCAAGACCUAGCGCUCCAAGAGGGGCCCGCGUCCGAUUAGCUAGUUGGUGAGGUAAUGGCUCACCAAGGCGACGAUCGGUAGCCGGCCUGAGAGGGCGGACGGCCACACUGGGACUGAGACACGGCCCAGACUCCUA